UUAAAAGUUUUUGAUCCUGGCUCCAGGACGAAACCCUGGCCAGGCGUGCCUUAAUACAUCCAAGUUGAAGCCCUGAAGGUUUGGUUACUUGUACCCAACUGAUGAGCUUAGCGAACGGGUGAGUAACGCGUGGGGAAUCUGCCUUUGAGCGGGGGACAACAUUUGGAAACGAAUGCUAAUACCGCAUAAAAACUUUAAACACAAGUUUUAAGUUUGAAAGAUGCAAUUGCAUCACUCAAAGAUGAUCCCGCGUUGUAUUAGCUAGUUGGUGAGGUAAAGGCUCACCAAGGCGAUGAUACAUAGCCGACCUGAGAGGGUGAUCGGCCACAUUGGGACUGAGACACGGCCCAAACUCCUACGGGAGGCAGCAGUAGGGAAUCUUCGGCAAUGGACGAAAGUCUGACCGAGCAACGCCGCGUGAGUGAAGAAGGUUUUCGGAUCGUAAAACUCUGUUGGUAGAGAAGAACGUUGGUGAGAGUGGAAAGCUCAUCAAGGGACGGUAACUACCCAGAAAGGGACGGCUUAACUACCUGCCAGCAGCCCCGGGAAUACCUAGGGUCCCCAAGCGUUGUCCGGAUUUAUUGGGCGUAAAGCGAGCGCAGGUGGUUUAUUAAGUCUGGUGUAAAAGGCAGUGGCUCAAACCAUUGUAUGCAUUGGAAACUGGUAGACUUGAGUGCAGGAAAGGAGAGUGGAAUUCCAUGUGUAGCCGGUGAAAUGGCGUAGAUAUUAUUGGAGGGAACCCCGGUGGGCGAAAAAGCGGCCUCUCUGGGCCCUGUAACCUGACACCGAGGCCCGAAAGCGUGGGGAGCAACAGGAUUAGAUACCCUGGUAGUCCACGCCGUAAACGAUGAGUGCUAGAUGUAGGGAGCUAUAAGUUCUCUGUAUCGCAGCUAACGCAAUAAGCACCCUCGACCUGGGGAGUACGACCGCAAGGUUGAAACUCAAAGGUAAUUGACGGGGGCCCGCACAAGCGGUGGAGCAUGUGGUUUAAUUCGAAGCAACGCGAAGAACCUUACCAGGUCUUGACAUACUCGUGCUAUUCCUAGAGAUAGGAAGUUCCUUCGGGACACGGGAUACAGGUGGUGCAUGGUUGUCGUCAGCUCGUGUCGUGAGAUGUUGGGUUAAGUCCCGCAACGAGCGCAACCCCUAUUGUUAGUUGCCAUCAUUAAGUUGGGCACUCUAACGAGACUGCCGGUGAUAAACCGGAGGAAGGUGGGGAUGACGUCAAAUCAUCAUGCCCCUUAUGACCUGGGCUACACACGUGCUACAAUGGAUGGUACAACGAGUCGCGAGACAGUGAUGUUUAGCUAAUCUCUUAAAACCAUUCUCAGUUCGGAUUGUAGGCUGCAACUCGCCUACAUGAAGUCGGAAUCGCUAGUAAUCGCGGAUCAGCACGCCGCGGUGAAUACGUUCCCGGGCCUUGUACACACCGCCCGUCACACCACGGGAGUUGGGAGUACCCGAAGUAGGUUGCCUAACCGCAAGGAGGGCGCUUCCUAAGGUAAGACCGCCAUGACUGGGGUGAAGUCGUAACANGUAAGCCGUAG
rnacentral:rRNA from 1 species